GCCAGUGUGGCUCAGUGGGUAGAGCGUCGGCCUGUGGACUGAAGGGUCCCGGGUUCGAUUCCCGGUCAGGGCA
rnacentral:tRNA from 1 species